rnacentral:rRNA from 1 species
AUACGGAGGGGGCUAGCGUUGUUCGGAAUUACUGGGCGUAAAGCGCGCGUAGGCGGCGGAUCAAGUUGGAGGUGAAAGCCCGGGGCUCAACCCUGGAAUGGCCUUCAAAACUAGUUUGCUUGAGACCGGGAGAGGAGAGUGGAAUUCCCAGUGUAGAGGUGAAAUUCGUAGAUAUUGGGAAGAACACCAGUGGCGAAGGCGGCUCUCUGGACCGGACCUGACGCUGAGGCGCGAAAGCGUGGGGAGCAAACAGGAUUAGAAACCCCGGUAGUCC